GAUGAACGCUGGCGGCGUGCCUAAUACAUGCAAGUCGAGCGAACAGACGAGGAGCUUGCUCCGCUGACGUUAGCGGCGGACGGGUGAGUAACACGUGGAUAACCUACCUAUAAGACUGGGAUAACUUCGGGAAACCGGAGCUAAUACCGGAUAAUAUAUUGAACCGAAUGGUGCAAUAGGGAAAGACGGUUUUGCUGUCACUUAUAGAUGGAUCCGCGCCGCAUUAGCUAGUUGGUAAGGUAACGGCUUACCAAGGCAACGAUGCGUAGCCGACCUGAGAGGGUGAUCGGCCACACUGGAACUGAGACACGGUCCAGACUCCUACGGGAGGCAGCAGUAGGGAAUCUUCCGCAAUGGGCGAAAGCCUGACGGAGCAACGCCGCGUGAGUGAUGAAGGUCUUCGGAUCGUAAAGCUCUGUUAUUAGGGAAGAACAAAUGUGUAAGUAACUAUGCACGUCUUGACGGUACCUAAUCAGAAAGCCACGGCUAACUACGUG
rnacentral:rRNA from 1 species